rnacentral:rRNA from 1 species
AGGGUUUGAUUAUGGCUCAGGAUGAACGCUGGCGGCGUGCUUAACACAUGCAAGUCGAACGGGAUCCCAGGAGCUUGCUCCUGGGUGAGAGUGGCGAACGGGUGAGUAAUGCGUGACCGACCUGCCCCAUACACCGGAAUAGCUCCUGGAAACGGGUGGUAAUGCCGGAUGCUCCGACAUGACGCAUGUCGUGUCGGGAAAGAUUCAUCGGUAUGGGAUGGGGUCGCGUCCUAUCAGCUUGAUGGCGGGGUAACGGCCCACCAUGGCUUCGACGGGUAGCCGGCCUGAGAGGGCGACCGGCCACAUUGGGACUGAGAUACGGCCCAG